rnacentral:rRNA from 1 species
UCGAGAAUAAUUCGCAAUGGACGAAAGUCUGACGAUGCGACGCCGCGUGAACGAUGAAGGCCUUCGGGUUGUAACGUUCUGUUGUCCUGGAACAAGAGUCGCUGACGAAUAGUGAGCGACGAUGAGGGUACAGGAAGAGGAAGCACCGGCUAAUUCCGUGCCAGCAGCUGCGGUAAUACGGAAGGUGCAAGCGUUAGUCGGAAUUACUGGGCGUAAAGGGUGCGUAGGCGGUGAUAUAAGUCGGGCGUGAAAUCCCGAGGCUCAACCUCGGAACUGCGUACGAUACUGUAUCACUUGAGGAAUGGCGGAGAAAAUGGAAUUCCAUAUGUAGCGGCGAAAUCCGUAGAUAUCAGGAGGAACACCGGUGGCGAAGGCGGCUGCCUGGACCGAUAUUGACGCUGAGACGCGAAAGCGUGGGUAGCAAACA